rnacentral:rRNA from 1 species
CCUACGGGUGGCAGCAGUGGGGAAUAUUGCACAAUGGGGGAAACCCUGAUGCAGCGACGCCGCGUGAGCGAUGAAGUAUUUCGGUAUGUAAAGCUCUAUCAGCAGGGAAGAAAAUGACGGUACCUGACUACUAAGCCCCGGCUAACUACGUGCCAGCAGCCGCGGUCAUACGUAGGGGGCAAGCGUUAUCCGGAUUUACUGGGUGUAAAGGGAGCGUAGACGGCGGUGCAAGCCAGAUGUGAAAGCCCGGGGCUCAACCCCGGGACUGCAUUUGGAACUGUGCUGCUAGAGUGUCGGAGAGGCAGGCGGAAUUCCUAGUGUAGCGGGGAAAUGCGUAGAUAUUAGGAGGAACACCAGUGGCGUAGGCGGGCUGCUGGACGAUGACUGACGUUAAGGCUCGAAAGCGUGGGGAGCAAACAGGAUUAGAUACCCCUGUAGUC